GGCGCACGUGGUAGGGGAGCGUUCUGUAGGCUGAUGAAGGUGCAUUGAGAAGUGUGCUGGAGGUAUCAGAAGUGCGAAUGCUGACAUGAGUAACGAUAAUGUGGGUGAAAAGCCCACACGCCGGAAGUCCCAGGUUUCCUGCACGACGUUAAUCGGAGCAGGGUGAGUCGGCCCCUAAGGCGAGGCUGAAGAGCGUAGUCGAUGGGAACCAGGUUAAUAUUCCUGGACUUUUUAUAAGUGGUGAAGUGGGGACGAAGAAGGCUAGGUGAGCCAGGCGUUGGUUGUCCUGGUACUUGCAUGUAGGGGGGAAGACUUGGCAAAUCCGGUUUUCCAUAACUCUGAGGUGCGAAGUGGUUCUGACCUUUUGGUACAGAGAAGUCAUUGAUGCCCGGCUUCCAGGAAAAGCUGCUAGCCAUAACUUAUAGAGAACCGUACCGCAAACCGACACAGGUGGACAGGUAGAGAAUACUAAGGCGCUUGAGAGAACUCGGGUGAAGGAACUAGGCAAAAUGGUACCGUAACUUCGGGAGAAGGUACGCCCUUUUGGGUGAGGGCAUUUACUGUCUGAGCUUAAGAGGGCCGCAGAGACCAGGUGGCUGCGACUGUUUAUUAAAAACACAGCACUCUGCAAAUUCGUAAGAAGACGUAUAGGGUGUGACGCCUGCCCGGUGCCGGAAGGUUAAUUGAUGGGGUUAUCUUCGGAGAAGCUCUUGAUCGAAGCCCCGGUAAACGGCGGCCGUAACUAUAACGGUCCUAAGGUAGCGAAAUUCCUUGUCGGGUAAGUUCCGACCUGCACGAAUGGCGUAACGAUGGCCACACUGUCUCCACCCGAGACUCAGUGAAAUUGAAAUCGCUGUGAAGAUGCAGUGUACCCGCGGCUAGACGGAAAGACCCCGUGAACCUUUACUAUAGUUUUGCACUGGACUUUGAUGAUGACUGUGUAGGAUAGGUGGGAGGCUGUGAAGUGAGGACGCUAGUUCUCAUGGAGCCGCCCUUGAAAUACCACCCUGUUGUUAUUGAGGUUCUAACUUGGUCCAGUAAUCCUGGAUGAGGACAGUGUAUGAUGGGUAGUUUGACUGGGGCGGUCUCCUCCCAAAGAGUAACGGAGGAGCACAAAGGUACCCUCGGUACGGUCGGACAUCGUACCAAGAGUGUAAAGGCAAAAGGGUGCUUGACUGCGAGAGUGACGGCUCGAGCAGGAACGAAAGUUGGUCUUAGUGAUCCGGUGGUUCUGAAUGGAAGGGCCAUCGCUCAACGGAUAAAAGGUACUCCGGGGAUAACAGGCUGAUACCGCCCAAGAGUUCAUAUCGACGGCGGUGUUUGGCACCUCGAUGUCGGCUCAUCACAUCCUGGGGCUGAAGCAGGUCCCAAGGGUAUGGCUGUUCGCCAUUUAAAGUGGUACGCGAGCUGGGUUUAGAACGUCGUGAGACAGUUCGGUCCCUAUCUGCCGUGGGCGUAGGAAAAUUGAGAGGAGCUGCUCCUAGUACGAGAGGACCGGAGUGGACGAACCUCUGGUGCACCGGUUGUCACGCCAGUGGCAUGGCCGGGUAGCUAAGUUCGGACGGGAUAACCGCUGAAAGCAUCUAAGCGGGAAGCCUCCCUCAAGAUGAGUUUUCCCAUGAAGCCCGUUGAAGACUACGACGUUGAUAGGCAAGGUGUGGAAGCGCAGUAAUGCGUGAAGCUAACUUGUACUAAUUGGCUGAUUGUCUUGACCAUAUAAUCUGAG
rnacentral:rRNA from 1 species